rnacentral:rRNA from 2 species
UGGGGAAUAUUGCGCAAUGGGGGAAACCCUGACGCAGCAACGCCGCGUGAAGGAUGAAGGUUUUCGGAUUGUAAACUUCUUUGAUGAGGGACGAUAAUGACGGUACCUCAAAAACAAGCCACGGCUAACUACGUGCCAGCAGCCGCGGUAAUACGUAGGUGGCAAGCGUUGUCCGGAAUUACUGGGUGUAAAGGGCGUGUAGGCGGGGAUGCAAGUCAGAUGUGAAAUUCCGGGGCUCAACCCCGGCGCUGCAUCUGAAACUGUAUCUCUUGAGUGCUGGAGAGGAAAGCGGAAUUCCUAGUGUAGCGGUGAAAUGCGUAGAUAUUAGGAGGAACACCAGUGGCGAAGGCGGCUUUCUGGACAGUAACUGACGCUGAGGCGCGAAAGCGUGGGGAGCGAACAGG